CAAGUAAUUAAGUGCAUGUGGUGGAUGCCUUGGCAGUCAGAGGCGAUGAAAGACGUGAUAGCCUGCGAAAAGCUCCGGGGAGGCGGCAAAUAUCCUUUGAUCCGGAGAUGUCUGAAUGGGGGAACCCACCUACUUUAAGGUAGGUAUUGCAACAUGAAUACAUAGUGUUGCAAGGCGAACGAGGGGAAGUGAAACAUCUCAGUACCCUUAGGAAAAGAAAUCAAUUGAGAUUCCCUCAGUAGCGGCGAGCGAACGGGGAUCAGCCCAUUAAGUUAUGUGUGUUUUAGUGGAACGCUCUGGGAAGUGCGAACGUAGAGGGUGAUAUUCCCGUACACGAAAGGGCACACAUAAUGAUGACGAGUAGGGCGAGGCACGUGAAACCUUGUCUGAAUAUGGGGGGACCAUCCUCCAAGGCUAAAUACUCCUGACUGACCGAUAGUGAACCAGUACCGUGAGGGAAAGGCGAAAAGAACCCCUGUGAGGGGAGGGAAAUAGAUCCUGAAACCGCAUGCAUACAAGCAGUGGGAGCACCUUCGUGGUGUGACUGCGUACCUUUUGUAUAAUGGGUCAGCGACUUAUAUUCAGUAGCGAGGUUAACCGUAUAGGGGAGCCGUAGAGAAAUCGAGUCUUAAUAGGGCGUUUAGUUGCUGGGUAUAGACCCGAAACCAGGCGAUCUAUCCAUGAGCAGGUUGAAGGUUGGGUAACACUAACUGGAGGACCGAACCCACUGUCGUUGAAAAGCCAGGGGAUGACUUGUGGAUAGGGGUGAAAGGCUAAUCAAGCCUGGUGAUAGCUGGUUCUCCCCGAAAGCUAUUUAGGUAGCGCCUCGGACGAAUACCAUAGGGGGUAGAGCACUGUUUCGGCUAGGGGGUCAUCCCGACUUACCAAACCGAUGCAAACUCCGAAUACCUAUGAGUACUAUCCGGGAGACAGACUGCGGGUGCUAACGUCCGUAGUCAAGAGGAAAACAAUCCAGACCGCCAGCUAAGGCCCCAAAAUCAUAGUUAAGUGGGAAACGAUGUGGGAAGGCAUAGACAGCUAGGAGGUUGGCUUAGAAGCAGCCACCCUUUAAAGAAAGCGUAAUAGCUCACUAGUCGAGUCGGCCUGCGCGGAAGAUGUAACGGGGCUAAAACUAUGUGCCGAAGCUGCGGAUGUAUACUUUGUAUACGUGGUAGGGGAGCGUUCUGUAAGCCGAUGAAGGUGUGUUGAGAAGCAUGCUGGAGGUAUCAGAAGUGCGAAUGCUGACGUGAGUAACGACAAAACGGGUGAAAAACCCGUUCGCCGAAAGACCAAGGGUUCCAGUCCAACGUUAAUCGGGGCUGGGUGAGUCGACCCCUAAGGCGAGGCCGAAAGGCGUAGUCGAUGGGAAAAUGGUUAAUAUUCCAUUACUUCUGUGUAAUGCGAUGAGAGGACGGAGAAGGCUAAAUCAGCCUGGCGUUGGUUGUCCAGGUGAAAGGAUGUAGGCAUGUAUCUUAGGCAAAUCCGGGGUACUCUAUGCUGAGAUCUGAUAGCAAGCUGUACUUGUACAGCGAAGUGGUUGAUGCCAUGCUUCCAGGAAAAGUCUCUAAGCUUCAGUUACACAGGAAUCGUACCCGAAACCGACACAGGUGGUCAGGUCGAGUAGACCAAGGCGCUUGAGAGAACUCUGCUGAAGGAACUAGGCAAAAUGGUACCGUAACUUCGGGAGAAGGUACGCUGUUGUUGGUGAUGGAACUCGCUUCCUGAGCUGACGACAGCCGCAGAAACCAGGCCGCUGCAACUGUUUAUUAAAAACAUAGCACUCUGCAAACACGAAAGUGGACGUAUAGGGUGUGAUGCCUGCCCGGUGCUGGAAGGUUAAUUGAUGGGGUUAGCGUAAGCGAAGCUCUUGAUCGAAGCCCCAGUAAACGGCGGCCGUAACUAUAACGGUCCUAAGGUAGCGAAAUUCCUUGUCGGGUAAGUUCCGACCUGCACGAAUGGCAUAAUGAUGGCGGCGCUGUCUCCAGCAGAGGCUCAGUGAAAUCGAAAUCGCUGUGAAGAUGCAGUGUACCCGCGGCUAGACGGAAAGACCCCGUGAACCUUUACUGCAGCUUGACACUGAACUUUGACCUUACUUGUGUAGGAUAGGUGGGAGGCUUUGAAGCUGGAACGCUAGUUCCAGUGGAGCCGUCCUUGAAAUACCACCCUGGUAAUGUUGAGGUUCUAACUCUGUCCCGUGAUCCGGGACGAGGACCGUGUCUGGUGGGUAGUUUGACUGGGGCGGUCUCCUCCUAAAGAGUAACGGAGGAGUACGAAGGUGCGCUCAGCGUGGUCGGAAAUCACGCGUAGAGUAUAAAGGCAAAAGCGCGCUUAACUGCGAGACCCACAAGUCGAGCAGGUACGAAAGUAGGUCUUAGUGAUCCGGUGGUUCUGUAUGGAAGGGCCAUCGCUCAACGGAUAAAAGGUACUCUGGGGAUAACAGGCUGAUACCGCCCAAGAGUUCAUAUCGACGGCGGUGUUUGGCACCUCGAUGUCGGCUCAUCUCAUCCUGGGGCUGAAGCAGGUCCCAAGGGUAUGGCUGUUCGCCAUUUAAAGAGGUACGCGAGCUGGGUUUAGAACGUCGUGAGACAGUUCGGUCCCUAUCUACCGUGGGCGCUGGAAAUUUGAGAGGAUCUGCUCCUAGUACGAGAGGACCAGAGUGGACGAACCUCUGGUGUACCGGUUGUGACGCCAGUCGCAUCGCCGGGUAGCUAUGUUCGGAAGGGAUAACCGCUGAAAGCAUCUAAGCGGGAAGCCUACCUCAAGAUAAGAUUUCCCUAGGACUUUAUGUCCUCUAAAGAGCCGUUCGAGACUAGGACGUUGAUAGGUUGGAUGUGGAAGCAUAGUGAUAUGUGAAGCUGACCAAUACUAAUUGCUCGUGAGGCUUGACUA
rnacentral:rRNA from 1 species